rnacentral:tRNA from 1 species
GCAGGUAUAGCUCAGUGGUAGAGUGUGUGCUUAGCAUGCACAAGGUCCUCGGUUCAGUCUUCAGUACCUCCA